UAUAGCCCUGAAGAGAAAAGAAAAGAACUUUUCUCAGCAGACACAUUCGGCAUUUAUAGAUUUUGAAGCUGCUGUGAAUUUAUCUAACUACAGAGGAUUUGUAAAAAAACUCAUCCAAUUCAAGAGGACCUGCAGAAACUUUCUUUGGGCCACAGGAUUCUUUUUAGGACGGGAACAAUUUGAAGGAUUCUGAGGCUGGAAAUGGCAUGAUCAACUCUGUUCUUUGUAAAGAUAAUUCUGGAAACUUUGUGCAGGAUGAACAAAAAGAAGACAUGAACAUCUGCGAGAACAGAGGUGUGUCCUGGUGGUCUGUGGCUGAAAGGCAGUGACAGCCGUGGAGCUGAAGCCCUCACUGCUUCUGACUGGAACCUGGACCCAGGAACCCUCCAUAAAGCUCUUGUUGGAGACACCAACUUGGUUGGGAGAUAGUGGACUUCCUGAGGUCAAGCAGCUGGUGGAGCUGGGAGUUGACAGCAGGCAGACCCCAGAGCCAGAACGCUCAAACUCCAAGCUCUACUUCAUAGUGUAUGUUAAUUUUAUAAUAAAAUCUCUCUGGAAACCCC